CCCAGAAAAGAACAAGCUUCAUUUGUAAAAAAGGAAAACAACUCAGGCAAUGGGGGUGGCUUAAAGGCACUCUACAGUGUGCAGAUGCCUUCCACUUCUUCCAUCUGCCCUGUCUCUCCAAGAACCCCUAUGGCCCCGGUCUCAGAACAGAGCUGAGUGCAGAAAUGAAAAUCUAUGGCUCUGUGUUCCAAAACGAUGAAGAAUUUCAAGAUGGUGGCAGUGGUAAAAUCUUUCUCCAGGAAAAAUCUGUCCUUGGCCCAAUGUGUAAACACUUGCUGAGUAUUGUGAAACCAGCAACUUGUUCACAAUUCUUCUGAAUUUCUUGGGAAAUUUGAAGUGGAGUACCUGUACCAACAUGAAAUGACACGAAUUUAAGUGACGCUCAACAACGAAAAGCAAAAAGAACCAAAGAGGAAGCAACUGAAACAACAUCUGGAUGUAUUUAAAAAUAUACAAUGCCUCCAAAAUCAGGUGUCAUUAAUGAAAAUUCUGAAGAAAUGCCACCGGACAUAGCCAACGCACCUACGCUGUUGUUAUUCAUUUCCUGCUUUUCACAGAAAACAAUUUUGUUGCAUGGAAGAUCGUGAACUUCAAAGGGCAGAGGGGAAACUGUCCCUUGGCCUCUACCCCUCCAAGGCCCCACUUUUUUGUCAACACUCCUUGGACGCAGCAGAAGUAUGAACAUAAUAUGGUCCUGAAUGAGGCUGAGUCUUUGGGCGCAGAAGACCCGGGUUAAUAAAAAUAGGAAGGUGGUGUGAAGACCAGAAAGGAGGCUGUUGCACUAGUUCAGGAAGAGAAGAGGAGGUGGGCGACAGAAGUAGAGGCAGCGCUCUGAGGGACCUUGGGCAGGUGGAAGCCACAAAACUGGAUGGCCAUGAGGGCAAGAAUCAGAUGCUGCCCUUGUGGCCAGUUGGGUUCCCACCCACCUGAUUCUGGAGCCCUGGACCAGAGCCCUACGUUCACCAUGGGAAGAGACCUUGUGAUAAGCCACUCCUGAAGGCAUGGCCUAACUCUGGACACAGGUGGACAGUGGGUCACCACCAGGCUUGGCCACCACCCAGAUCCCCUUGGACCAGGAGAUCAAGGCUUCGUGCUCCAUCAAGGACAUGAAACAAAACAAUGGGGAGGAAUAAAACAGGAGACCUAAAAAAGUUAUGGGCUCUGGCCCAGUGUGGAGGGGCCAGAGGCUGACUGAAAAGCAGGCCCAGAGAGAGGAAGAAAUUCAUUCACCCAAGGUCACAGAGCUUUCAGCAGAGCUGGGACAGACCUCCUCUGACUCCCAGGCUGGGGCAGUUUCCUCCAGGGCUCCUCACCCAACCACGAGUUGUUCUUCGGUGACCCCAGGCACCUUCACAGCUCCAAACAUCACCACCAAGAGCUGCCUUGACUUUUCAGACGUCAUCGAGAACAAUAACAACAAAAAAGCAUGAAAGAAAAAA
ensembl:lncRNA DRAIC downregulated RNA in cancer, inhibitor of cell invasion and migration